UUUUGGUUAAGAAAGUCCUUUUUAGACAUUAUUAAAACUAAUAUGUAUUUUCAAGGUACUGCAAGUUUUUUUGUUGAGUAACAACUUGUAGUUUCAUGAUCAUUGAUCAAAAUGAUGUGUACUUAUAGGGAACUACGUGGUUUCGGGUUUGUUAAAUUCUGCCACCUUGAGAGUGCCGCAUAUGACAAGCAAGAAAUUAAUCAUCAAAUUAUGCGUGGUCGAGAUAUUACAAUAGUCUUUCCGAGGAGAACAGAAAAAUCCCACAAGAACUGCGCUUUAGAACAAGAUCAAGGGAACAGGUUUAGAAGAUGUACUUUAUGACAUGUCAAAGAGGUCAAAGAGCCUUUGUUGAACCAUGCCAAAGGAUGUCUACACAAGAUGAUGCAACUAAAAAUCGCAGGAAACCAGGAAGCAUCAAGUUUGCAGGAGGAGCAAUGCAAUGGCCAGGGUCAUGCUAGCAUUGUAGAGAAUGCUGAUUUUAUGCCUGUACUUGAAGGCGCUGAUGGUGGUAGUGUGCAGAAUACCAAUAUUAUUAGUGAUCACGGGAAUGCAGAGCAUGGAAGCCCAAGAUCAGGAGAUGGCGAAGAUUCAAAAGUGCAGGCUAUCAGUUCAGAUGUUGGUGAUGAUCCUGUAGGACCUCUGCCAUAGAGGUGGAUGGCGAGGAACUGCCAGAUUGCCUUUCGAAGGAAAGCACUGAAUGGCAGAUUUCUUCCCAAGAACCACCUCCCUUACAACCAGCGCGCCAAACAUAGAGGGAGAGGAGGGCUUGGCAGAUAAAAUCUCCUCCCGCUCCGCUCGAUAUGGACGGGAACUCGCGGGCGGAGGGAGCAGAGGAGACGGCCGUAGGGGAAAGGGAGAGCAUGGUCACCUGGGAGAGGUGAAUUGGAUGGACAGAGGUGGUGGGACUAUGCAGCUGCGGCAGCGGUGCAUAUGGAAUUCUGGUGAAUCGUCCGCCGUGACCUAGCGGUGCUAAGUCGGGUGGGAGUAGUGGAUUUCGGGUGCGGGGCAGCACGCGGCGGCAUAGCUUGGAGCUCGGAUUUCUCCAUCGGCGGCGUCGCUGCAAGUAACACGAACCGGUUGAACCCACUCACACUCACGGUCGCUGCACGCGCACACACAGCAGUCAGCAGGCGGGUGACACAGCGGCAGCCGUAGGCAAGCGGCGGCGACGAGCUGGCGACCAGCAGGAAGCGGCGGCACAGUGGCCACCACGACAUCAACGGCCAGCAGCCAGGUGCUCUCUUGAUCCGUAAUUCUGGACUGAUUGAUGAAGAAGAGCACUGCUGGCAGUUACACAUGUACAUUGCUCAUGUGGGCAGAGAUGAAUGGUUUAAAAACUUGAAGAAUAUAGUUCAAAUUUCAGUUAUACUUGUGGAGACAAUCAGAUAAACAUGAGCAAUAUUUUUUUGUUUAAAACCUAUCAAGUUGGUAUUGAUUCUCCAGUAGCUACUGCCAGCUUUGAAAGAGUAUUCUCCUCAAUGAACUAUGUGAAGAAUAAGCUAAGGAAUAAGAUGUGUGAUGAUUACUUGUACAAUUGUUUGGUUACAUUAAGAGAGAAUUCUUCAAUCAAGUGAAGGAUGAGAAUGUCAUUAAUCUCUUCCAACAAGGCAAUCACAAAGUUAUAUUUUAAUAUCAUCAAUUCUUCACUCAAGAGUCAAGAUAUACUGCCUCAGUGCAAAUUUAUUUUUGUAGUAUUGAUAAUUACUAUGGAUUUAUGGUCUUACCUAUUAUGUAUUGUUGCUUGAUUUUUUUAUUGUCCUUCCAAUAAUGAGUCAUACUGAAAUUAUGUCGUCUUA